UGCUGCGAGUCGCUUCACGCCUUUAUGCCUUCAGAGGCGCCUAAAAAACAUCAAGCCCUAAAAAACGCUUUUGAUCAAAACUGUAAAUCGGAAUUAAGUUGCAAAAAUAAGAAGAGAGUUGCCAGCCAUAUAAUUAUAAUUUAAUCUUAGAUAAGCUGCAGCUGCUGCUGAUAAACUAGAAGUUGGGUCUCGAAAGGAAAUAAAUGGUAUGGUUGUUCUCCCCCACCCCUCACUCUGCUGUGCUUGCAAGGUGUUUGGCCACAGGUUAAACAUUUAGGUAGCUUAUCCUGUUGCCAGAGAGACAGAAAAGUCCACCCCACCCCCCGGAAGAAUAGUAAAAUAAUACUGUGCAAAUUCUGCCCAUCGCGGCUGUGAAGUUCCUGGGUAGCUGUAGAGUCGUGCAUCAGCCCACUGGUGAUAUGGCUAGAGUAACGAAGGCUUCUCAAAAACUGGGAAAGAAAGGCAAGCCAUGGAAGAAGGCUAGCUUUUAUAAAAGUCUUCCUAAAAUUCUGGCAUCGUCCCACCACUGUCCUAGUGUGUCAGUAAUGCAGCAAAUCCACCAGCAUCCGAAAGCCUCUGGGUCUGGGAUGGUGCUUGACAAGGUAGUGCAUAGCUAUAAAAACCUGUGUUUCCAGACGGCUGCUAUCCUGGCCCUGAACGAAGCCUGCCAAGCCUAUCUGCUGAACCUGUAUGAGGACUGGAACCUGUGCGCUAUGCAUGCAAAGAGGGUUCGUGUCCUCUCUAGUGAUUUUCAUCUUGUCAGGUGCCUCCGGAGCGAGAUGAUGAGGUGAAGAUCUGCUCCUGUUUGACAGCAGCUUGCCUUGAAACAAAUGACUGGGCAGCAUCGGGAAUCCAGAAAUUAUUUUUCAAAGUUUUGUGCUUAAGAUUUGUUGCUCAAAAACAGGCUGAACAAAAAUUGUAGCCUACUGAGAAGACAGAACAGCAGGUUCCUGAAUUCAUGAUGUAUCUUGAAAUGUAGAUUCAUGUGUGAGUUUAAUGGAGAGCAAGGUUGGGGGAAGACAAAGAAGUGUAUUGGGUAAUUAGGGUGAACAUGCCAAACCUGUCUGGGCUGAGUUGUGAUAAGACAGGGUCCCCUCCCUCCACUUUGAAGUCGAAUACAGGGGGAGGAAGGCAAAGAGAGAAACUUACUGGUGUUAUGAGUGUGUGAGGGUAUACACAUUGAUAUACCUGGGCUGUGUUGUGAUAACAGACAGGGUUCCUGCCUUGAAGUUUUUGUGUUUUAUUUCUGAGUUGCAUUAGAUUUCUUGGGUGGCAUGUCAAGAGUUCUGUGUAACUUAAAAAAAACUUGCCUCCUACAGCCACAGAUUAAGCAUUGCACUUUUAUUCUGAAUUUCAGUUGGUGCUGGGGCCUCUACCAAGCAGAGCUUGGAUGUCUUAUGUGGACUUAUGCUUUUCAAACUACCACAUGAAGUAGUGCAACAAGCCUGUACAACUUGGGAUCUUGCACACCAUGUGCAGUCCAGCAGCCAUGUGCUGAGGCCUGCCAAGUGCUUGACAACUCUGUUUUUGCAGGCUCCACAAGCAGAGUCCUUUGAGCUGCCAUACAUGGCUGAUGGGCUGCAUUCAGUUUGGCAUACAAGUUGUGUGAGCAUGCAUGACAUUCUUGUACUUUAUCUAAUCUAUCACAGCAUAAAAACACGUUUCUUAGUUUGUGUCUAAACACUAAUGCUAACAUUUAUAUUUUGCAAUGCUUUUCUUCAGUUGCAGAAUUUGUAGCAAAGACUGUGAAUGUGAUUUCCUCUCCCCAUACCCCUGCCCCAAUUCUUUUUGUUGGCUUGUUCUUCUGAAACUUUAAUGAAAAGGUGCACUCUUGCUGAACAGAUCUCUACCAUGCAAUACAAGUAAGGUGACAUCUUCUGAGGUUUACAGACUUUUGAGUUAGAUUAAACUCUCUGAGAAAUAAGCAUUCCAUCCUGGACUACAGAUUUCUGCUCAAAAGGAAAGUGUGUUGCUUAAAUAGUGGCCUUCAACAUGUAGGAGCUGCAAGUUAUAGAUAGCCCUCCAAAUGUAGUCAUUGGGUGAAACUGCUGUUGCUGAGAUUUGAACAAUCCACAUGUUAUGAAAGAAAGAUGAUUAAUAAAAAUAUACAGGUGCUCUGUGCUACAGUACGCCCUCUGUAUGGGCAGGAAUCUACUUCAUUCACUACAGAGUGCAGACCACUAGUUUCCCCUAUGAUCUGGCUUUUCAGGAUGCUAGUUAUCGGUAGCAGUUAAAUUCAAUGAAAUGGAGACCAGAACUUUUAUCAGAUCACUGCAUAUGUAUGCUUUAUUUAGCAGCUUUUAUUGGAGGAUCAACCUCUUUUGGGGGGGUGGGACUUCCAUUAAAAUCUUCUGGGAAGUGGCCUGGAAAGUGAACUUAAGCAACAUGCAAUACACUUAACUUCUCAACAGAGUGAAUGGACAAUUAUAAGAUCUAGUUCAUGUGGACACUGACUCUGGUACUCCACUCCCAUAUCGCAGCACCAUUCUGCAAGAGGAGAUGUGGAGAACUUCUGGUCCUAAGGCAGGUUCUACUGUACUUCAUAAUAAAUUCAGCCCUCCUGCAGAUGUUGCACUGCAACUCCCACUUGGUGAUUUGGGGCGUUGUAGUCCAAAAAGAGCUGGAGGGCUGCAGUUACACAGCCUUGUUUUUGACGGGUAUGGCAAAAGAAACUCUACCCAAAUUCAGCCUUGGAUGAAUUCGUAGAUUCUAAAUGUAACUACCAGGCAAAGAUUGGCUGGGGUAUGGCUGAAGGUGCCUUACAAUGAAGAAGGGUUCCAAGGGAGUUCUGCUUCCUCAUUUUUAUUUUUAUUUUGUACCUGGAAGCUUGCAAGGAUGCUCAAAAGCAGUUUGUGGAUCUUGCAGCCCUAAGAAAAUGGAACUCAACCUGUUUGCUUGCUCAAGUAGGCAUGUGCACACACAGCCUCCAUGGUCAUACACAAAACGAACUAGUCGUGAGUAAGCAGCUAGUACAUGUAUAUCCAAUUUGAGCAUGCCUUUGCCAUAUGCAUUGUUGAUGUACAUACAAGAUCAGUUCCAGACAAACCCUCAACAUGUUUUUCAGCUUUGGGGAAUAGCAGGAGGGAGGGUAUCAGAUGCAGACAGUAAAAAGAUGGGGAAAGAUUCUGCUUUAUUUUUAUACGAACAACCAGUUAGAUGGGAUUCGUUCUAUGGUGCAGAGUCACUUAUUUAAUUAGUUUGCAUGUUUAGCAAGUGGCAAAAGAAACCACCUCUGAGCUGGAGAGCUUCAACUGGAGGCAUGUUCAAGAAGCCUACUUCCCUUCCUAGGUCAAAUGUUAAGGAAACCAAAACUAGCAAGGUAGCCUAUGCCACACAAACCAGAGAUGGGAUGAUGAGCCUCCACCAUGGGAAAAAGCAUGAACUGUUUCCUCCUUGAAGGAGAGUAAUAGGAAUGUUUACAGUAUCUUCUUACUAUGCAAGUUGGUCUUAUUUCAUAAUGCAGCCCAAUAGAUAACCCUCUAGGGCUAGAGGUCAGGGCCAGAGGGGUUGUAGGGGAAGUGUGAACCCAGAAGCCAGGUGUAAUAUCAGAGCCACUUGUUCUGUGUGGGCCAACUAAUUUGCAGAACAUGUAUACCCCCAACAAGAGUGAAAUUUAGUACUAGCCAAAACACAUUUGCGUUUGUGGGUUUCAGCUUGCUCUCUCUCUCUCUCUUUCUCUCUCUCUCUCUCUCUACACAGGGCAUUUACAGCAGUCUCGCCUGUAUUAAUUCAUA